UGGGGACCAGGUCCAGCAGGGUCAGCUGGUACCAGAGGUCCAGCUGGAACCAUGGGUGUCGUUGGACCAAAAGGCUUUACUGGAGACCCUGGUAAGACAGGAGAAGUGGGGACCCCAGGUGUUGCAGGACAGAGGGGACUUCCUGGUCCAGUUGGACCAACAGGAGGCAUUGGGCUCAAUGGUGAUAAGGGAGAGGCCGGCCCUAAAGGGACCCCUGGACGUCGAGGAGCGAG